UGAUUGAGAAAUUGCAUGGACUUGGGGU
rnacentral:piRNA from 1 species